GGGGGUUAUGCCUCGGCUUAUCUAAGGGAAUCCUUCAAAGCGGUUAAUGUUAUUCUAUGCGGCUAAGAUCCACAGGACAGGUCAAGAUAUUCUAUGGGGCUAAGAUCCACAGGACAGGUCAAGAUAUUCUAUGGGGCUAAGAUCCACAGGACAGGUCAAGAUAUUCUAUGGGGCUAAGAUCCACAGGACAGGUCAAGUUAUUCUAUGGGGCUAAGAUCCACAGGACAGGUCGAGAUAUUCUAUGGGGCUAAGAUCCACAGGACAGGUCAAGAUAUUCUAUGGGGCUAAGAUCCACAGGACAGGUCAAGUUAUUCUAUGGGGCUAAGAUCCACGGGACAGGUCAAGAUAUUCUAUGGGGCUAAGAUCCACAGGACAGGUCAAGAUAUUCUAUGGGGCUAAGAUCCACAGGACAGGUCAAGAUAUUCUAUGGGGCUAAGAUCCACAGGACAGGUCAAGAUAUUCUAUGGGGCUAAGAUCCACAGGACAGGUCAAGUUAUUCUAUGGGGGCUAUCCAGUACAUGGUGCACCAGUUUAGACCAGUGUCAUAAGGGUUGUGGUCAAAAAUAGUGCACUAUAUAGGAGAAUGUGUCAUUUGGGACAAACAGUGACAUCACCUUGGGGCUGGGACAACAUGGGAAGAGGAGAGGUAAACAUCACCUUGGGGCUGGGACAACAUGGGAAGAGGAGAGGUAAACAUCACCUUGGGGCUGGGACAACAUGGGAAGAGGAGAGGUAAACAUCACCUUGGGGCUGGGACAACAUGGGAAGAGGAGAGGUAAACAUCACCUUGGGGCUGGGACAACAUGGGAAGAGGAGAGGUAAACAUCACCUUGGGGCUGGGACAACAUGGGAAGAGGAGAGGUAAACAUCACCUUGGGGCUGGGACAACAUGGGAAGAGGAGAGGUAAACAUCACCUUGGGGCUGGGACAACAUGGGAAGAGGAGAGGUAAACAUCACCUUGGGGCUGGGACAACAUGGGAAGAGGAGAGGUAAACAUCACCUUGGGGCUGGGACAACAUGGGAAGAGGAGAGGUAAACAUCACCUUGGGGCUGGGACAACAUGGGAAGAGGAGAGGUAAACAUCACCUUGGGGCUGGGACAACAUGGGAAGAGGAGAGGUAAACAUCACCUUGGGGCUGGGACAACAUGGGAAGAGGAGAGGUAAACAUCACCUUGGGGCUGGGACAACAUGGGAAGAGGAGAGGUAAACAUCACCUUGGGGCUGGGACAACAUGGGAAGAGGAGAGGUAAACAUCACCUUGGGGCUGGGACAACAUGGGAAGAGGAGAGGUAAACAUCACCUUGGCAAUGUGGCAUCAAAACCAAUUACUGCUCCCCUCCUAGAAAAACAAAAAUCAACCCAAAAUAAAAAAAUUAAAAAUCAAUGAAAAGAAAGCAAGCGAGGGUGUGAGCUUAAGUUAAAUAUAACAAUUUAGGAAUUGGCACAGGCUCAGAUAUUUGGCCAACGUCUAUUAGAAGACAGGAGUAUUUUUAAGUCAUCCUUCUACAAAGACUGGAAAUGCUUCAGAAUAGAUUGAGAGAUUCAUGAUUUAAGUGACUGGGGAGGUGAGGCGAGGAAGGAUGGUUCCUAGAGGGCGCUAUGAAGUGUCAACUGUGUUGAAACAGGCCAUCUUCUAACGGCGCCAAGCUAAACGGCGCCAAGCUAAACGGAGCCAAGCUAAACGGAGCCAAGCUAAACGGAGCCAAGCUAAACGGAGCCAAGCUAACGGAGCCAAGCUAACCCAAGGCUUUUUCAUAAGUAGUGGACUAUAAAGUAAGGUGUGCCAUUUGCGAUACAAUCCUAUACACUGUCGACAAUGACGUGGUCUCACGAGGAGUCCUAAACACGCUGACAACAACCAGGAAAGAGCGGGAGAAAAUAGGCUUAAGUUCUUAUUGGGUUAAAUUAAAAUCAGAUCAUGAACAUUAUUCCAGUGUUCUACAAGACAAAUCUAGUUGAGAGUGGUACCAUAUACCCUUAAUAGUUCACUAUUUUGGACAAUGUUUACUUCUUAAGGGAAUAGGGUGCCAUUUGGGACGCAGGCAGAGCCGAGCCGGAACUAGAUCUUACCAGCAGAGCCGAGCCGGAACUAGAUCUUACCAGCAGAGCCGAGCCGGAACUAGAGCUUACCAGCAGAGCCGAGCCGGAACUAGAGCUUACCAGCAGAGCCGAGCCGGAACUAGAGCUUACCAGCAGAGCCGAGCAGGAACUAGAGCUUACCAGCAGAGCCGAGCAGGAACUAGAGCUUACCAGCAGAGCCGAGCAGGAACUAGAGCUUACCAGCAGAGCCGAGCAGGAACUAGAGCUUACCAGCAGAGCCGAGCAGGAACUAGAGCUUACCAGCAGAGCCGAGCAGGAACUAGAGCUUACCAGCAGAGCCGAGCAGGAACUAGAGCUUACCAGCAGAGCCGAGCAGGAACUAGAUCUUACCAGCAGAGCUGAGCAGGAGGCAACAGGUGUUGUUGAAAACAUCCAUCCACAUUGCAGCGGACUGUUUCAGUCAGUCAGACAACUCAAAAGGUUUUUGAAGUCCUUACUCAAAUUGUUGUUCCAUUGUACUUUUUCCAAACUAAGCCAUGUCAUGUAUUCCCAUUUUCAGGUCUCUGGAAAAAAAACUCACUUUGAUUAGAUUUUUUCCAUCAAGGGUAAGAACUGUUUUAUUGUUGUCCCUUCCAAAACGUCUUGCAUGUUCCAAGAAACCAGUCCCAGCUGACUUCAGUCUUAACGUCACCCAGAUAAAAACAGAAACCGUAUUUCUAAAUAACGGCCCAAGGAUGGAUAAGAGGGACAGGAGAGAGUGAAUAGUAGUAUAUUUUUGGGGGGGAGGGAAGGAAAGUGUUGGCAAACAAUUGACAUCUCACAAUUAAAGAUUACAGCUUGUUUUAAAAAUUAUUGAAAUUAACACACAAUUUGUAGAAAUAUGCCUCCAUUUUCACAAUCUGGCUCUGUCAAGUUAGUUUUUUUGGUUGUUAUCUUGUUAUACUCUGAAGCCCUACCCCCACUCCACCUACCCCCACUCCCUGAUAACCUCUGUGUCAAAUGAAUGCUUUUCUCUUCCCUUCCCCUUCUGUAUUGUAAGAUGUACAAUUUAAUAUCUGUAAAGUGGGUAAGAUGUGGCAAAACUGAAAAAAACGUUUUUCUUAAAACAUAUAUUUUUAAAUAAAAAUGGUUACAAUUAA